CACAUCAUAGGCCCACCGCCUGGUGCUGCUGAGCCCAAAUGAAUGCAUGAGUGUUAGGGGAUGCGAACAACAACACAGUGUGCAAAAUGGAUGGGCCUCAGGCCCAUGAAAACUAACCAUAGCAGAACAACAAGGGGGUGCCGGGAGUGAAAUAGUUUGGGCCUUAGGCCCAAACAUCCGAGCCAGGACACAAUCUUUCCAUUCUUUAACCUACAUGACUGAAGCCAGAAAAAAAGCUCUCUUCGCCGCAACCAAACACAAAUGGAGAAGCUCCGCGCGGCGCCGUACCAUCGUCCUCCACACUUGCCUCCAUGUUUGUUCAAGAAAUGCGUCAACUUCUCUACGGCGUAUGUUCUUCCUCUCAAUCACUGAUCCAAUGUGACUCGAUUCUUAACAAAACUCCCGCGUAACCAGAGGAGGAAAGUAAAGAUUAUAGAAGAUGAAUCGUGAACUUACCAGAUUCGAAUGCUUCAAUCACUCUCAAAUAUGUAUCGUUGCUGAAAUCGUUUCUCUUCCUCUUCCUGUGAUUGUUGCGAACUCAGAGAAUGGAUGUGCGCUUCUGAGCAGUGAAAAGACCUUUGAAUUUGGCUCGAUCAAGGCUUUUGCAGAAUGGAGAUUCGGUUAAGGCUCUUGCAGAAUAUGGAUGAGGACAAGGAUGAAUGCGAGAUCCAAUUGCAGAGUGUUGAAGCAUGAUGAACUUGGUGAGAAAUCAGAAUCCACCUCGAUGCAGAGUGAGUUUCCCUUAUACUCAUUCUCCUCUCCCUGUUAUUCUCCUCACCUCUUUUGUUAUAGUUGCUAGGUUGUUAGGUUGUUAAAUUCAGUUAGGUUAGAAGUUGGUUUCAGUUGAGUUUGAUGCCUGAGAUGUAGAAGAACCAAUAUGUGCCUUUGAAGUGUGAAGUGAACUGUUAUAUAGGUGAUGAUUGUUGAAGAUUCUGGAAUCAGUUGGAAGUUGUUAUAUCAGUUGGAAUGUUUAUGUUGAAAUUAGAGUGGUUCUUGAGUUAAUUCUGUUAGGCUUUGUUGUAGGCCAAGAAGUUAGUUACGAAAUGGUUAGGUUACGGAGUUCAUUCGAAGUGGAAGGUUCUGGACGUGCGAAAAUUAUGUUAUGUUGAGCUUGUUAUAAAGUGGAUUCUGUUUCAUUCUUGUAUGAUUUAUGGAAAAUCCAUUGGGAGCUAAUGGUGGAUGCUUCUGAUUUUCUUGCACUACUUGCCAUACGAAAUUCUGCAGAAUGAAGAUUCAACUGUUAUGUAGGGGAUGUGAUGCCGCAACAGAAUCGGGCAGGUUGGGCACUAGUUGUUGAGGCUUGGGCAACAUUCAUCAUCAAAUGAAAAAUGUUGCUUAUAAUGGUUAGUUUUAUUAAAACUUUUUCUAUCAUCAUACUCUGUCCAAUAUUUGUGAAUUAAUUGGGAUGCAGUUAUGGUCAUUAGUUGGUUAACGGUUGAAAAGUAUAUUUCUGGCAAAUAUUUUUAUAUCGUAUCCAUAGAGAUUGGGUGAUAUUACCGCCGUUCUAUAAUCUCAAUUGUUGUAAGUUUGAAAAGUAACCAAGUUGUUUUUGAGUGAA